rnacentral:rRNA from 1 species
UGGGGGAUAUUGCACAAUGGGCGAAAGCCUGAUGCAGCGACGCCGCGUGGGGGAUGAAGGCUUUCGGGUUGUAAACCUCUUUCGCUAUCGAACAAGGCCCGCUUAGGGUGGGUUGAGGGUAGGUGGAGAAGAAGCGCCGGCUAACUACGUGCCAGCAGCCGCGGUAAUACGUAGGGCGCGAGCGUUGUCCGGAAUUAUUGGGCGUAAAGGGCUUGUAGGCGGCUUGUUGCGCCUGCUGUGAAAACGCGGGGCUGAACGUCGCGCGUGCAGUGGGUACGGGCAGGCUUGAGUGUGGUAGGGGUGACUGGAAUUCCAGGUGUAGCGGUGGAAUGCGCAGAUAUCUGGAGGAGCACCGAUGGCGAAGGCAGGUCACUGGGCCAUUACUGACGCUGAGGAGCGAAAGCAUGGGUAGCGAACAGG